UACGGAGGGUGCGAGCGUUGUCCGGAAUCACUGGGCGUAAAGGGCGCGUAGGCGGUUUCUCAAGCGUGGGGUGAAAGCCCGGGGCUCAACCCCGGGUCGGCCGUGCGAACUGGGAGACUCGAGCACUGUAGAGGCGGGUGGAAUUCCGGGUGUAGCGGUGGAAUGCGUAGAGAUCCGGAAGAACACCGGUGGCGAAGGCGGCCCGCUGGGCAGUGGGGGGCAACCCUCUGAAAGCUGACGCUGAGGCGCGACAGCGUGGGGAGCAAACAGG
rnacentral:rRNA from 1 species